rnacentral:rRNA from 1 species
GAUGAACGCUGACAGCAUGCUUAACACAUGCAAGUCCACUUGAACUUCGGUUUGGGUGGCGGACGGGUGAGUAACGCGUAAGGAACUUGCCUACCAGUUAGGCCCAACAUUGGGAAACGAAUGCUAAUACCGGCGCUAAUACUUUAAGGGCAUCCAGGAAUUAUGAAAGCUUUAUUCGCUGUGAGAGAGCUUUGCGUCCCAUGAGCUGGUUGGGGAGGUAACGGCGCUCAAAGGCGAUGAUGGGUAGCCGGCCUGAGAGGGUGAACGGCCACAAGGGGACUGAGACACGGCCCGUACUCCAUCGUGAGGCAGGAGUGGGGAAUAUUGGACAAUGGACCAAGUGUGUGAUCCAGCAAUUCUGUGUGCACGAUGAAGUUUUUCGGAAUGUAAAGUGGUUUCAGUUGGGAAGAAAAAAAUGACGAUACCAACAGAAGAAGUGACGGCUAACUACGUG